CCAAAACUUCAAGCCAUGUGGAAUCUUCAUCGUUUCCUCAUUCUGAAGAGUUGGACUCGACAGGAACCAAUGGAAAAGUGAACAUUUGAGUCAAUCGACAGGAUGUUUUUUGGUCAACCAAUACCCAACAACUGUUUCUAAAGGGUUUGUCCCCACCUCCACCCCCCACCCCGCAACUGGAGUGGUGAGUUUUCUCUUUAGCUGAAUUCACCAGAUGUUUUGGCGGUACAUAAACCUGGCUUUCCCGUCUUCCAAGUGGAUGAAAUAGGAUCCAAAUCACAG
ensembl:lncRNA